rnacentral:rRNA from 1 species
UACGUAGGGGGCUAGCGUUGUCCGGAAUCAUUGGGCGUAAAGCGCGUGUAGGCGGUCCGGUAAGUCCGCUGUGAAAGUCGGGGGCUCAACCCUCGAAAGCCGGUGGAAACUGUCGGGCUAGAGUGCGGAAGAGGCGAGUGGAAUUCCUGGUGUAGCGGUGAAAUGCGCAGAUAUCAGGAGGAACACCAAUUGCGAAGGCAGCUCGCUGGGACGUAACUGACGCUGAGACGCGAAAGCGUGGGGAGCAAACAGG